UGGGGAAUUUUGCACAAUGGGGGAAACCCUGAUGCAGCGACGCCGCGUGAUUUAGAAGGCCUUCGGGUUGUAAAAAUCUUUUCUAUGGGAAGAAAAUGACAGUACCAUAGGAAUAAGGACCGGCUAAUUACGUGCCAGCAGCCGCGGUAAUACGUAAGGUCCGAGCGUUGUCCGGAAUCAUUGGGCGUAAAGGGUACGUAGGCGGGUAAGCAAGUUAGAAGUGAAAUCCUAUAGCUCAACUAUAGUAAGCUUUUAAAACUGCUCAUCUUGAGGUAUGGAAGGGAAAGUGGAAUUCCUAGUGUAGCGGUGAAAUGAGCAGAUAUUAGGAGGAAUAUCGGUGGCGAAGGCGACUUUCUGGCCAUAACCUGACGCUGAGGUACGAAAGCGUGGGUAGCAAACAGG
rnacentral:rRNA from 1 species